rnacentral:misc_RNA from 1 species
AUACAUGCAAGUCGAGCGGCAGCACGGUCUUCGGACUGGUGGCGAGCGGCUGACGGCUGAGUAACGCGUAGGAACGUACCCCAAAGUGAGGAAUAACUGCCCGAAAGGGUGGCUAAUGCCGCAUGUGGUCUUUGGACUAAAGUCUUCGGACGCUUUGGGAACGGCCUGCGUAAGAUUAGCUUGUUGGUGAGGUAAUAGCUCACCAAGGCGACGAUCUUUAGCUGGUCUGAGAGGAUGAUCAGCCAGACUGGAACUGAGACACGGUCCAGACUCCUACGGGAGGCAGCAGUGGG